rnacentral:misc_RNA from 1 species
GCACGAGCAGCAAAUUCUUUCCCAUACCAAGAAGUGAAAACAUUGCGGACUUCCUGAAGCUCUGGGAUAUCUCCGCAUCUGGAAGACGCAUAAAGCAAACUUGAAACUGCCUCCUUCAGUUCGUCAGGGCACACUCUCUUCUGAUCAAUGAGGUGGACUCUUUCAACUAAGAGAUUGCAGUAUCCUUCCAACAUAACAUACACAUCCAACAUAUG